GGCAUCCCCCACUGCCACGGGAGCCCAGCCUCUUCAGCUUUCCAGCAGGACUGAAGGCUAGCAGCUCUCUGGGAAUCCUCCAGGCCUUCAGUAAGAUUGUGACUGGUCGUACUAAGGCUUGGGUUAAGCAGAAGGAGAAAAAAGGAAAUGGGCAUAAAUUUCAGAGAGCCUCUGAAGCCCAUAUCGAUUCAGAGCCUGGGACUCAAACGAGUGGAUCAAUGUGUUCUUGUUGUCAAAGCCAUAACUGGCAUUCCACACAGGAAAGGAAGAAUUUGUUCCAGUCACCUCUGGUUGGCUUGUGAGGACCAACAGUUGAACAUGGAAAUGACGUCAGCUGACUGCGCUGGAUGAGCAAUAAGCAAGACUUAGUUAUUCAGGCUGAAAGGAGAGUGUGAAACGAAGAUGAUGCAGUGGUUUGCGCACCUCAUUCCUUUCCUUAAAUGUUCAUUAAAUGAGGUUACAAAAGCA